AUAGUUGGGGGAUAACACAGGGAAACUUGUGCUAAUACCGCAUAAAAUAUUCGGUUGGCAUCAACUGGAUAUCAAAGGAGAAAUCCGAGUAUGGAUGAGCUCGCGUCCGAUUAGCUAGUUGGUGGGGUAAAGGCCUACCAAGGCGACGAUCGGUAGCCGAACUGAGAGGUUGAUCGGCCACAUUGGGACUGAGACACGGCCCAGACUCCUACGGGAGGCAGCAGUGGGGAAUAUUGCGCAAUGGGGGAAACCCUGACGCAGCAACGCCGCGUGAAGGAUGAAGGUUUUCGGAUUGUAAACUUCUUUGAUGAGGGACGAAAAAAGACGGUACCUCAAAAACAAGCCACGGCUAACUACGUGCCAGCAGCCGCGGUAAUACGUAGGUGGCGAGCGUUGUCCG
rnacentral:rRNA from 1 species